rnacentral:rRNA from 1 species
AAGAGUAAUACCGUAUACGCCCUUCGGGGGAAAGAUUUAUCGGUAAAGGAUUAGCCCGCGUUAGAUUAGAUAGUUGGUGGGGUAAUGGCCUACCAAGUCUACGAUCUAUAGCUGGUUUGAGAGGAUGAUCAGCAACACUGGGACUGAGACACGGCCCAGACUCCUACGGGAGGCAGCAGUGGGGAAUCUUAGACAAUGGGCGCAAGCCUGAUCUAGCCAUGCCGCGUGAGUGACGAAGGCCUUAGGGUCGUAAAGCUCUUUCGCCAGAGAUGAUAAUGACAGUAUCUGGUAAAGAAACCCCGGCUAACUCCGUGCCAGCAGCCGCGGUAAUACGGAGGGGGUUAGCGUUGUUCGGAAUUACUGGGCGUAAAGCGUACGUAGGCGGAUUGGAAAGUAGGGGGUGAAAUCCCAGGGCUCAACCCUGGAACUGCCUCCUAAACUAUCAGUCUAGAGUUCGAGAGAGGUGAGUGGAAUUCCAAGUGUAGAGGUGAAAUUCGUAGAUAUUUGGAGGAACACCAGUGGCGAAGGCGGCUCACUGGCUCGAUACUGACGCUGAGGUACGAAAGUGUGGGGAGCAAACAGGAUUAGAUACCCUGGUAGUCCACACCGUAAACGAUGAAUGCCAGACGUC